UGAUCCUGGCUCAGGACGAACGCUGGCGGCGCGCCUAACACAUGCAAGUCGAACGAGAGAUGAGGAGCUUGCUCUUCAAAUCGAGUGGCGAACGGGUGAGUAACGCGUGAGGAACCUGCCUCAAAGAGGGGGACAACAGUUGGAAACGACUGCUAAUACCGCAUAAGCCCACGGCUCGGCAGCGAGCAGAGGGAAAAGGAGCAAUCCGCUUUGAGAUGGCCUCGCGUCCGAUUAGCUGGUUGGUGAGGUAACGGCCCACCAAGGCGACGAUCGGUAGCCGGACUGAGAGGUUGAACGGCCACAUUGGGACUGAGACACGGCCCAGACUCCUACGGGAGGCAGCAGUGGGGAAUAUUGCACAAUGGGGGAAACCCUGAUGCAGCGACGCCGCGUGGAGGAAGAAGGUCUUCGGAUUGUAAACUCCUGUUGUUGAGGAAGAUAAUGACGGUACUCAACAAGGAAGUGACGGCUAACUACGUGCCAGCAGCCGCGGUAAAACGUAGGUCACAAGCGUUGUCCGGAAUUACUGGGCGUAAAGGGAGCGCAGGCGGGAGAACAAGUUGGAAGUGAAAUCCAUGGGCUCAACCCAUGAACUGCUUUCAAAACUGUUUUUCUUGAGUAGUGCAGAGGUAGGCGGAAUUCCCGGUGUAGCGGUGGAAUGCGUAGAUAUCGGGAGGAACACCAGUGGCGAAGGCGGCCUACUGGGCACCAACUGACGCUGAGGCUCGAAAGUGUGGGUAGCAAACAGGAUUAGAUACCCUGGUAGUCCACACCGUAAACGAUGAUUACUAGGUGUUGGAGGAUUGACCCCUUCAGUGCCGCAGUUAACACAAUAAGUAAUCCACCUGGGGAGUACGACCGC
rnacentral:rRNA from 1 species